GCUGUCUUACAUGAGUGCUGGAAACCAAACUCAGUGUUGGAAGUUGAACUAAGGGCUUCAUGUUCUGCCACUGAGCUGUGCAGCCCUCAAGUGUUUAAAAGAAAACAGGACCAAAGGGUUAAAUAACUUGUCAAAGGUCACACAGUUGGGAAGGAACAAAAUCCGACUCAGACCCGGGUAAAUCAGUUGCUGUCGGGUCUUGCCAUUCCGCUGCAGAAAAGAGCCGGAGUUCUCAGCCAGUCAGGAGGAGGUUGCUGAGGAGCCAGGGGCUUUCUGUAGAGUGCCAGCUUCCUGUCCGUAAAGAAUUCUCUAAACUCAUCAAUGCGAAAUUGACAGAUUUAAAGUGUCCAAAGGAGGCCUCAGAAGUGGUUUGCUGCUGUCUGAAGACUGUGUUCUCAUCGCUCAGAUUCGGUUUUUCCAUUUCCCUUCGGUUCUUCAGCACUGAUCUGUGACACUCAUUGGUAUACUAGACAUAUAACUCCUGUCUUCAUAGCCAGCAUAGAGCUCACAGCUGUGGUGUCUUGGUACUUUACACUGUGAUUAAUUGCCAAUUAUAAACAUCUGAUGAAUAUUUGAAACCCUGCCUUAGAUGACUUGUGUUAUGUAGCUGACGUGUAUGGUUAGUUGAAAAGACUGAGGCUAUGAAGUUCCUUGCCACCAAGAGCAGAAUUCAGUCAAAAUUUCAUGCUCUCCCGAUCUCUACUAAGAGUAUUUUGCUCUUUUGACAACUAAAACAUACCUGUGCCUUAUGGUCCAACUCAGUUCCUGCCUCCUCCCCAGUCCUUUCCUGACAGUCCUCUCUGACGCCCACCUCAAGGUCUCUUACCUGUGAGGCUGUAAUGUCAUGAGAUGCAGCAUCUACUCUCUGAAUUGCACAUCAAAGUUUACAUGCUGUGCUUCUUCAGCCUUCCCCGAGGCGCCUAGAGCAGUGCCCAGCACACGUGGAAGCUCCCUGGCAGAAAUGCACAUCAACCUGAAGUCAUCAGUGCCCUAGAAGCAGCCAGAGUUAACUUCAAGACGGGCCACUCCAGAAAUAAGUUUGUCAGCUGGUGGCUAGGGGUUUGAAAUCACUGUUGUCUACCACCCACAGAAAAGUGUGAAGAAAUUAUAUACCUUGUCAUAUUCAUUAGGGAAUUACUAAUGAGUAUACAAAAAGAGAAAUUAAUGGAACAGAUAGAGAAAAGAAAUUCAGGAAGGAGGGAAAGAAAUAAUUUGGAAAAGGCAAAACCCAAAUCCCAGCACUCCCAUUCUUGGAUGUAAUGUGUUUCCUUUUUUCAGGACAAAAAUCCAAAGACUCCUUGCAAGUGCAUUUAAUGGAUCAUUACUGGCCCAUCUUACUACUUACUGUGUGCAGAAAUAACUGUCUGUCCCAGUUUGAAUUAGGAACAAACUGGAAAGGCAGUGGCUUUGGGGGGGAAAUCAGUAAAUGUAGAAGCCUAGUAACACUGGCACAUUGUGGCAGUGAGAAAUGACCACUCCAAACGAGGCUAGCUUCUCACUUACUGGUCACGGUCUCAGUGAUUCCAUGAGAUUUCUCACUUUAUAGGCCGCGCUUCCCACUGGCAGCAGCUGAAGCAGUUUAUUAUGCACAUCUGUCACGUGGUACACUUCAUCACCCAAAUCGAACUGGGAGAGUAAGACACCCUAACAAGCCCCUUCAGUACAGUCUUAAAAACUACUUACAGAUGUACUCUUCCUCUGUAGGGACACAAGGAGUUUCCUUGUGCUGUGCCACAUGAUACAGGAAAUGCAUUGUCCCCGUUCAAAUUCAGGCAUACGAGGAGGAAGCAUGUGAAAAGAAAGCAGCUCACAAAAGCUCACACAGCUUUUGCAAAAGUCCUUAGAGGGGCUCACACACCAGUUUAUGAUAAGAGCAGAUAAAAUCCUCUCUCUCUCUGCAGCUCAGUUCAUUUCAAAUGCUAAUGUCCACACAGGGAAAGGAAACCACAUCAGCAUUCAGCCUUGACACAAACACUGCUAAUCCUUUUUAUUUAUGAUGGUCACUGAGCCCCUCUGCGCCAUGCCAGGCCUCCAUUGUCUUACAGCUUUGGCUACUUUAUGUGCUUCUCGAAGGUGAGUUGUGCUGUUAACCACUGUUUGGGAUCUAGAGGCAGGAAUCAGUACGUUCAUAUUCACAUCAGCUUGAAUUGGAUAUUUCUGUUGAAUCAUUCAGUCCAGAGUUAGAUUUACCUGCCCUUGUUAAAUCUCCUGCUUCUCAUGGCGUGAUCAAUUCAUGAUUCAUGCAGUCAACCAACACAUACUAAAAUGUAACCCAUGUCCCAGUAUUCCAGUCACUGGCAAUGCAGCAGGGAAUAGAGUCCUAUAUUUAUAUAGAUAAUAAUUUAGAGAGGGGAGACAGGAAACAGAUAAAUAUGUCAAAUAGUCUGUCUGUCAGAAUAGAUUACAUUGUUUUGUGGCAAUAAACACCUCAGAGGUGUGUAAGCAUCUCAGAGGCUGCAAACAACAAUGUUUAUUCCUCAUCACAGCGUUCACUGAAGGUCAGAAGGAGGGGCUCUCUUCUGGAUCACUCCCCUCUGGCACCCAGGCUAUCCAGAGCACCACCGUGGAGUAAGGCUAGUCUUAGGCAGAAGAUCAAAUGAAUGGCCUCCAAUGCCGGGCGGUGGUGG